rnacentral:rRNA from 1 species
UACGAAGGGGGCUAGCGUUGCUCGGAAUCACUGGGCGUAAAGCGCACGUAGGCGGUUUCUUAAGUCAGGGGUGAAAUCCUGGAGCUCAACUCCAGAACUGCCUUUGAUACUGGGAGACUUCGAGUCCGGAAGAGGUGAGUGGAACUGCGAGUGUAGAGGUGAAAAUUCGUAGAUAUUCGCAAGAACACCAGUGGCGAAGGCGGCUCACUGGCCCGAUACUGACGCUGAGGCACGAAAGCGUGGGG